AUUGAACGCUGGCGGCAUGCUUUACACAUGCAAGUCGAACGGCAGCACAGGGAGCUUGCUCCCGGGUGGCGAGUGGCGAACGGGUGAGUAAUACAUCGGAACGUGUCCUUUUGUGGGGGAUAACUACUCGAAAGAGUAGCUAAUACCGCAUAAUACCUGAGGGUGAAAGCGGGGGACUUUAGGGCCUCGCGCAGUUGGAGCGGCCGAUGACUGAUUAGCUAGUUGGUGGGGUAAAGGCCUACCAAGGCGACGAUCAGUAGCUGGUCUGAGAGGAUGAACGGCCACAUUGGGACUGAGACACGGCCCAG
rnacentral:rRNA from 1 species